rnacentral:rRNA from 1 species
UGGCGGCGUGCAUACACAUGCAAGUCGAACGAUGAAACUUAGAUGAUUUCUUCGGAAUGAACUUAAGUGGAUUAGUGGCGAACGGGUGAGUAACACGUGAGUAACCUGCCUUACACAAGGGGAUAGCCUCUGGAAACGGAGAAUAAUACCCUAUAAAGUCUAAUCAGCACAUGCUGGAAAGACCAAAGAUUUAUCGGUGUAAGAUGGACUUGCGUCUGAUUAGCUAGUUGGUGAGAUAAAAGCUCACCAAGGCGACGAUCAGUAGCCGGCUUGAGAGAGUGUACGGCCACAUUGGGACUGAGACACGGCCCAAACUCCUACGGGAGGCAGCAGUGGGGAAUUUUGCACAAUGGGGGAAACCCUGAUGCAGCGACGCCGCGUGAUUUAGAAGGCCUUCGGGUUGUAAAAAUCUUUUUUACGGGAUGAAAAUGACAGUACCGUAAGAAUAAGGUCCGGCUAAAUACGUGCCAGCAGCCGCGGUAAU